UACUGACCUGCUGACACUGUACAGGUGCGCUUGUGCCCAGAGAAGGAGAGAGAGAGCCAGAGCUGUCCGUCUUUGCAGAUGGACAGGAGGGAGCCAGAACACAGCUCUGCUCACUUGUACCCACAGAGAGAGAGAAAGAGUUAAGCUGCUGACCCUGAAGGGAGAGCCAGCCAUGCAGCUGUGUGUGGGAGCCGCCGGGCUAAGCAGCCAAGACAAGGCGAACAGUGUGACAGAGCUAGUGUGAGUGAGCUGCUGCUAAGAGAGUUACUGAAUAAAACAACCUUUCACCUGCCUACAGCCCCCGCAGCGUUCUUUCAGCUAUCUGCUCGUCCAUCCACUCGCUUCGGACCUCAGCAUGAGCUGGAACCUGACUCCAAACAGGACAGAGAGUAGUACCAUUGUUAUACAUGGUUUCUUCUCUGUUGCCCAGGCUGGAGUGCAGUGGCACCAUCAUAGCUCACUGCAACCUCAAACUCCUGCCCUCAAGUGGUCCUAUCGUCUCACCUUCCCAAAAUGCUAAAAUUACAGGUAUGAGCCAGUACCCAGCCAUUGUUUUCUUUUUCAUUCUUUUCUUCCCAAUUUGAGUUAUAAUAGAGUGAUAAGCAUCUGCCUAAUUACAAGUAAUUAUGAUAAACAGGGAUCCACUCUAACUUCAAAUAAAACCAAUGUAAGGCACAACUAUUCAGGAAUAUUUUGUAUUUUCAAAGUAUUUAGGAAUUCUUUAAUUAGAAAAAUAAAGGCAAUGGGAUUAUCUAUCAGGUUCUAAAAGUACCCAUGAA
rnacentral:lncRNA from 1 species